CCGGCAUAGCUCAGCCCGUGCUUUGCCAUCGGUACAGCGGCAGGGCUGUCUUCAAGCACCCUGCAGGCAGCGAGGUUGAGCGAGCCAGGGGCCGCAUUCCCGUUGCGCUUGGCCGAGAGGGAGGCAAACACAGAGCCAAGAACAGGCUUGAGGUCUUGGGGGUGGCCCUGUGUGGGUCAGGUUUCAGCUGCCCUGGAAGCUGAGCUAGUGAUGAUACAAGUUAUCCCUGUCUGAAAUUGAGCUUUCUUCUGUGGAAGGUUAACUCUGAGGCUCAGCACUAAAUACACAAAGGUAAAGGGAUGGUUUGUUGUAUGAGCUGACUCUGGCUCCUUCCUGUUUCAGAGUGUGGCAUGGUGCAAAGCCGGGGUGAAAACACUCACCUGCUCAGGAGGCUGAUUCCAUCGCUGGACCAACCCUAAACCUGCACCAUGGAGGAAAUCAUCCUGCAGAGGCCUGGGGCUCUAAUGCUGUCCAAAGACAACUUUGGCAGGAGACCAAGUUGGGCUUCAAACUGAAGCAUCAGGAGGAAGAUGGUUCUGGAGCAGAUCUCACAAAUGGCCAUUGAUAGAUCACUGGAAACGGUGUGAAAUGGCCACCAGUGUGUAACUGCAGGCUUCUUACUGCUGCCCCAUCGUGGGACCCGAUGUGCAGCUGGCAGGAGGAAGAAGUGGGUCCCUGCUGUUUGCUGUUCCACAAUAAAACAAGUUGUGGAAAAUCUUGAGAGUCC